rnacentral:rRNA from 1 species
GACGAACGCUGGCGGCGUGCUUAACACAUGCAAGUCGAGCGGUAAGGCCUUUCGGGGUACACGAGCGGCGAACGGGUGAGUAACACGUGGGUGAUCUGCCCUGCACUUCGGGAUAGCCUGGGAAACUGGGUCUAAUACCGGAUAUGACCUCCUAUCGCAUGGUGGGUGGUGGAAAGAUUUAUCGGUGCAGGAUGGGCCCGCGGCCUAUCAGCUUGUUGGUGGGGUAAUGGCCUACCAAGGCGACGACGGGUAGCCGACCUGAGAGGGUGACCGGCCACACUGGGACUGAGACACGGCCCAGACUCCUACGGGAGGCAGCAGUGGGGAAUAUUGCACAAUGGGCGAAAGCCUGAUGCAGCGACGCCGCGUGAGGGAUGACGGCCUUCGGGUUGUAAACCUCUUUCAGCAGGGACGAAGCGCAAGUGACGGUACCUGCAGAAGAAGCACCGGCUAACUACGUG